UGUUAUAGAUAGUGUGUCUCCAGACCUCCCGAUUGGAGGCCAGAGUAGACCAGUUAUGUUGAUCAAUAUGGCCAAGGUUGAGGUGUUGUUUCAGGGAUUCCUUGUAUCUUUUCUUCGGGGUUCCUCUCAUGCGGCAGCCGGAGGCUAGAUCACCGUA